CUGAUUCUGGCGUGUGCUGUCUCUGACUCUGGCUCCGUAGGUGGGUGGGGGAGUGUAGAUCAGCUGAUAUUUGGGUGGGAGCUUUCUCAACCCCUUAUAGUGUGGAAAUUUCCAAAUUCCACAUACCUUCAAUGCUGCACCCUACUCUAGAGUCCCUUUGUUCUUACGAAUUUGGUGGGUUUAUUUUUUGGUCUUUUGAGGUAGUCUAUUUCUGUGGGUGCUGAGGAGAGGAAGAAUCUUAUGUCUAGACUGCCGCCAUGUUUAUCCAGAAGUCCUGACAAACAAUCAGCCAUUCCUGUCAGGUCCAGGCCAAAGAAGCAAUUCUCCGUGGCAAGGCCCGCAGCUGCCUUGCUCUAGUGCUCCCUCCAUUCAUAGGCAGGGAGGGAGUGGUCAGCUCAUACAAGAUUGGUUUAAAAGGAAAAUCAAUACUGGUUCCUCAUCCCCUCUAAGGCAGUGAACUAGAUUGGCCCGGAUCCAAGGAGGAAAGACUCAAGUGGAAAAGAUUGGCUGCCAGUGAGAAAGAGAUUCUGCUAUGCAUACCAGCCAUUUGGGCUCCUGCCACUGAACACAUCACUGGGAGGCUGAGGUAACCUGGCUUACCUCCCACCAUCUGGUUUGGAGUGAACAAAUAAAUAUUGGGAAAUUAUAAAUCA
rnacentral:lncRNA from 1 species